CUGAUGUAAAGAAUGUGUAGCGUACAAUUUACAGAUAAUGUGCAAUACCCUAUUGUAAAUUCCAUACGCUUUCAAACUCAGUGCUGCUAUUCCUUGUAAAAUCCACUGUCAGUUUUUCUAAUUCUGUCACCAACAAUAGCAUUGCAAAAUCAAACUAUGAACAGAUUCUUGGUUACUAUAGGAUGUGCAGCAAAGAAGUCGUUUAUGUUGUGAAGUUCUUUCAUGAAUGUUGACUGGUAUUUUCAUUUACAUUAUGAGUAAGGCAAAAUGAAAUACUAAAGACAUACAAUGGAACUUCACUCAUUCAUCAGUAACAAAGAUAACUUGUCUGCCAAGCAGAUAAUAGUUUUCAAGUCCUGGAAGAAUUCCCUCAUAUUUUGAUGCUACUCAUAAUAUUAAAAAAACUGUAAGCAUGGCAGACUUAAAUUUAGUCUGCAUUAUUAACAUUUUCUCCAUCAUUUUUUAGAAGUCCAGGGUCUAAAUGCUUGACCAGCAACAAAACAUUAAACCAAGUUCUGAUUUGGAGCAUUUGCCCAUUUCUGUGAUGUAAAUACUUCCAGUGCUGGAGUUUCCAGAUGGUGAUAUGGUGCCAUUGAACAUGGAGUUGAGAGGAGAUGCACAUGAUUCUACAGUUUUCCCGCCACACAGCCUUCUUUGGGCUGAUGUUGUCAGUGCUCUACCUACACCCGCUUGGAUUCCCUUACCAUUUUGGAGCCCAUCUUUGGCCACACUUGCAUUUCUUUGUCGGAGGCGGACUUCAAGACUGCUGGAAUCUGCUUUGCCUGCACAUUGGAGACCUGAAUGCGCCUAGGAGAUUGUCCACCCCCAUCCCCUUUCUUAGUAACUGAUGGGUACAAAGGUAAAAAUGCUCCAGCCCCCUCGCCCCUGUCCAGGACGACUCUGGGGGUGUAGCUUUCAGUGGAGUUCGCUUGUGGACUGAGCCAAAGUAUAACAGAGUGACUUGUCUGAUAAGAUACCUUGCCGGGCCUCCUUUCCUUUCUGAUCCCACUUCCUUACUUGUUUGACUGGGAGCACUCCCUAAUAAAUCACUCACACAUGAAUCCUCGUCCCCAGGUGGCUUCUGGGGAACCCAAUUCAAGAUGCAGCCAUGGAGCUGCUGCUCUCUUGGGCCUAAGACAGACCCAGGCAGGCUCACGGAGACUCCCAGAGCUCUUCUCUGACACCCACGUAAAAGGAAACUGCUAAAAAUGUAAGCUUUCAAUAAAGCACGAAGCAAACAUUUUUUAAAAGCUCUUGAAGAAAA